rnacentral:sRNA from 1 species
CAGUACACAACUGAGGGCAGAUAAAGUGCACGUGAGCAUCGAAGCCCCCAGCAGUCAGAAUUAACCCUUCUCCGGCAAUCACUUCCGUGUUCACGCCUACAAUCAGGUCAGGCAGGACACCUUCCAUCACAUCUGGGUUGCCUCCCUUGCCGAUUCCUGCAAUCAAGCCGUCCUUGAUGCCCACAUCGGCCUUGUAGAUGCCCGUGUAGUCCACAAUCAGCGCAUUGGUGAUGAUGGUGUCCACAACCUGAGCGGAAUUCCUGCCAGACGCUUGUCCCAUACCUUCUCGCAG